rnacentral:rRNA from 1 species
UGAGGAAUAUUGGUCAAUGGACGCAAGUCUGAACCAGCCAUGCCGCGUGAAGGAUGAAGGCCUUCUGGGUUGUAAACUUCUUUUAUAGGGGAAGAACAGCAUUGUUUCUACGAUGUCCGACGGUACCCUAGGAAUAAGCACCGGCUAACUCCGUGCCAGCAGCCGCGGUAAUACGGAGGGUGCAAGCGUUAUCCGGAUUCACUGGGUUUAAAGGGUGUGUAGGCGGGCAUUUAAGUCAGUGGUGAAAUCUCCGAGCUCAACUUGGAAACUGCCAUUGAUACUAUUUGUCUUGAAUGUUGUUGAGGUGGGCGGAAUAAGUCAUGUAGCGGUGAAAUGCAUAGAUAUGACUUAGAACACCAAUUGCGAAGGCAGCUCACUAAACAAUAAUUGACGCUGAGGCACGAAAGCGUGGGGAUCAAACA